ensembl:lncRNA
CUCAGCCUACAUAUCAGGAACAACAAGGAAACAUACCUUAAAACCCACGUACAUACACGCAGAUGCAUACAUAGCAGAGUUGAGCAAAAUGGGAGGUGGAAACAGAAGUAUAUGUAUAAAAGGGCACUGUGAUGUCCCAUCUCUUCAUGUGUUCAUUCACCAGCUUCUUUUUACAUCACAGAGGCAGAUUUACUCCAAACAGUGAUGGCUGCAGUUCUAGCCUCAAGCAGGGGACUGACUGUUUCCAGCACCACCAAAGGCCUGUUCCUCAUGUUCACCCUGCUGUGUCUGGUUUGUCUUUCAACUUCACUGACAAACAAGAACCAACUGGAACAACUCAGAGAAACCUAUCAGAAAACACGACAACAAAUAGAAAAAGUGAAGGCUGAGCAUGAGAAGGAACUGGCCUCUACUACAGAGCUGAUGAAUGAAUACAUGAGCUUUAUGGACCCGAUGAUCGCACUGAUGAAGAAAACGAUGCAAGCAUCAACUGAUAAUGAUUUUCCUCCACUAGAUAAAUUUAUGGAGAACAUGAAGAAUUACAUGAAGCAAACUCAAGCUUACGUUGACAGGAAGCAUGAGGAGUUCGGUGAAAAAAUUGAGCAAAGUGAAAAGGAACUGGAAAUGACUAAGAAAUUCAUUGAAUUUCUUGAGGAACAGGAAGCUGAUUUGUAACCUAAAUGUCAGGGUUUUUUUUUCCUUUUUCUCGCCUUUUCUCUACUAGCAUCCAUUUAGUUCCCCUGUCAUAUAGUACUUUGUCAAUGGACUGGUUCUUAUAGCGCUUUUCUAUCCCCAAAGCUCUCUAUACAACAUGCUGCAUUCACACCAUACACACCCAUUCACACAAGCACUAUUAUCUAUACAUUGAGUUCUUUCUAAUUAUCAUUCAUACGCAUUCAUACUCCGAUGGAUGCAUCGGAGAGCAAGUCGGGGUCAGUAUCUUGCCCAAGGAUAUUUGGCAUGCAAACUAGGAGAGCCAGGGAUCGAACCACCAACCUUCCAAUCAGCAGCUGACCUGCUCUACCUCAGAGCUACAGCCACCCUACUUUGUAUAGUUAUGGCUUAAAAUUUUCUGUCAUCCUUCAUUACAGUUUGCAUAAAGUAACCUAGGAUUUUGCUAUUAGCUACAACUGCUCAGAGGAUAUUAUGGGUUGAAUAUAACCUUUAAGGAAUACAUCUGUAGUACUCCCAUCUUUUUCUGACAUGUCUUGUCUUUAGAAGUGGAAACAAUGUUUAUAUAACUUGACACAUAAUAAAGACAUAUACCAACUUUUAGUAUUGUUUGUUGUCAAAAUAUCUACACUGGUGUGAAAAAGUGUUUGCCCCCUUCCUCAUUUACUAGUGUUUGAGCACAUUACAAUAUUUUUCACACUUAACUGUAGCUCUUCAGAUCAUCAAACAAAUUUUUAUAUUAGACAAAUUCCAAUUGAAUAAAUGGUCAAAUUUUAAUUUGACUUUGAUUGAGGAGGAAAAGUUAUCUAAACCAUUAAUUACAAUUUGGAUAGGUGGUGCAGCCUCCCUCUGUCUCUUUUAGGUCAUAUACAUCUGGUCAAGAUGAAUAUCCUUCCUCGCCUCUUGUAUUUAUUCCAGAUGUUACCGCUUGCUCUGUCCAAAAAAGUUUUGUCAGAAUUAAAUAGCUCAAUUAUCUCAUUUAUAUGGCGUAAGAAAAGACUUAGAUUGAGAUACAGUUUUCUGUGUUUACCUGUUCAGAAAGGCGAUCUUGCUGCUCCCUCCCACAAUACCUCUG